CUUUUAGGCAAAACAUUCCAAAACAUGCACCAGCACAAUUUUACAUUGACAAUGUUCUGCCUCGAAUCAAGGAGAAGAAGAUAAUGGCCCUGAAGCCUUUUGUUAAUCAACUUGGGUAUGUCAAUGUUCCUCAAGAAAUCAACAGGCUGAGGUGCGGGGUGAACUAUCACGCUCUUAAAUUUCUUCCUGAAAUAGAGCAGAUGGCUGAUUUAUUGGCAUCAAGGAUGAGAAACCGCACCGGAAGUUCCAAUCCUUAUAUGGCCCUGCAUCUUAGGUUUGAGAAGGGGAUGGUCAGGUUGAAGAGAUACUUGGAGAUGAGGGGUGCUGAUGGAGGACCGGCCUUGGAGAAGCUUAUGUGCUUUGCUUGCAUUUUGUGUAAUAAGCUAAGCUACUGCAACCUUCUCUUUCCAGAUUGCUUUGCUUGCAUUUCAAUUGGAUUAGGUUUUGGCUUAGAACACAUCUCUUUGGUUGGCUUAGAACCCACAAAAGAGUAUCAAUAAAUUUUUUGUCGCCGGGUAUCAAGAAAAUGAUAAAGAAAUAUGUCUGGUACCAGGUUUUGGCGACUAGCUCAGCUCCUUCCUAGACACUUAUUUUUCUGAAUAUGGCAUGGAGGCCAUCUACUUUGAUGAAGGUGUAAGGAACUCAAGACAACACCAACUGGAAACAAGAGCAUUGGAUGUGACCUUUCGUGAGGAGUUGUAAAUUAAAGGAUCUGCAGACUCAAAACCAACAAAUGCUGUGAACAAGGAACCAGCUAAAGAUGCGGAGUCUGAACUGCGUCAUAGACAAGUUUUUUGCCAAGUUUAACCAUUUUUUGUAAUAUGCACAUAUACACCUACUUGGUUAGCAUAUUUUGAAAUCUGGCUAAACUACCAGAUUUUGGAUCAUGUAAAACAAUGUCUAAUGUAAAUAUGUAAUAUAUAACGCACUUAUAUAGUGUACCUAAUGUUUGUAAAUUCAAUAUCGUCGAAUUCAAUAUUGUAUAUCGUCGAAUUCAAUAA